rnacentral:rRNA from 1 species
UACGUAGGGUGCAAGCGUUGUCCGGAUUUGUUGGGCGUAAAGAGCGUGUAGGCGGUCAGGUAGGUCCGUUGUGAAAACUCGAGGCUCAACCUCGAGACGCCGAUGGAAACCAUCUGACUAGAGUCCGGAAGAGGAGAGUGGAAUUCCUGGUGUAGCGGUGAAAUGCGCAGAUAUCAGGAAGAACACCCGUGGCUAAGGCGGCUCUCUAGUACGGUACUGACGCUGAGACGCGAAAGCGUGGGGAGCGAACAGG